UACGGGGGGGGCAAGCGUUGUUCGGAAUUACUGGGCGUAAAGGGCGCGUAGGCGGUUUGCUAAGAUGGAUGUGAAAACUCUGGGCUUAACCCAGAGCCUGCAUCCAAAACUGGCAGGCUAGAGUUUUGGAGGGGGAAGCGGAAUUCCUGGUGUAGCAGUGAAAUGCGUAGAUAUCAGGAGGAACACCGGUGGCGAAGGCGGCUUCCUGGACAAAAACUGACGCUGAGGCGCGAAAGCUAGGGGAGCAAACAGG
rnacentral:rRNA from 1 species